UACGUAGGGGGCAAGCGUUGUCCGGAUUUAUUGGGCGUAAAGAGCGUGUAGGCGGCCAAGCAGGUCAGCUGUGAAAACUCGAGGCUCAACCUCGAGACGUCGGUUGAAACCGCUUGGCUAGAGUCCGGAAGAGGAGAGUGGAAUUCCCGGUGUAGCGGUGAAAUGCGCAGAUAUCGGGGAAGAACACCCGUGGCGAAGGCGGCUCUCUGGGACGGUACUGGACGCGUGAGACGGCGAAAAGCCGUGGGGAGCGAACAGG
rnacentral:rRNA from 1 species